rfam:Schizophyllum commune H4-8 unplaced genomic scaffold SCHCOscaffold_11, whole genome shotgun sequence.
GGCGAGAUGGCCGAGCGGUCUAAGGCGCUAGAAUCAGGCGGUAAUGCGCUUAUGUAAUCUAGUUCUUCGGAGCGUGGGUUCGAAUCCCACUCUCGUCA